UCUAAGAAGCAUAUAGUAAUUCAUUUUUUUCAGCGAAUAAAAGAAAUGCUCACUGCACUGCACCUAUAUCAAGAAGCAUCCACUUCCUUCUGUGCCCCGACAACAACUGUUUCUUUUUUUAUUUUUCUUAAACACAUUCUAUAUUGAAAGGGUCAACACACGACACAGGAACGCUUGAUUUAAAAUUGCAAUCUCCACAGCAUCAAUGCAUCUAAAUGAGACCUUGAGGUCUUUGUUUUAUGCAUCUAUCUAGUCAGACAUCAAGACAAAUAUGAACGUUGUGCAUCAAAAGUGACAGCAGCAGCAAGAGCCCAGAUUUUGUGAAGCCAUCCUACAGACACUCAGCCUGUGCAGCCCCAAGACUCCUUUGGGUUGUUGUCAGCUUCAACAAGUUAUUCCAAAAAGACAUCAAGACAGCGGCAGAAAUCAGCGAAUAAUGGCAAAACAAUGAGGAGGAGACGAAAGAGCAGCAAGUCAGCAGGGCAUGGACAGCGUCCUCCUGUACAUCCUUUUUAUUAUCCAAAAAACACAAGUAUGUAUCAAGCACGUUGUGUGAAAUCAUGGUAACAUGUAAAAAAUAUCUCAAGUCCAAACACGUACAACAAAAAUGCUACCAAACUAAAAAUCUGCCCACGCAACAGUCCUCACAUCUACUUUGUGUAGGUCAUCAUCAUGUAUGUUUGGGUCUCCAAACACAGCAACAUCAUCCUUGACAAAAAAAAAUAUACAUGUCAUCAAUCGAUCGAACAUGUCUGGCAUGAAAAGAGAAAGAAAG